AUUGAACGCUGGCGGCAUGCCUAAUACAUGCAAGUCGAACGGCAGCGCGGGGGCAAUCCUGGCGGCGAGUGGCGGACGGGUGAGGAAUGAAUAGGAAUCUGCCCGGCCGUGGGGGAUAACGUAGGGAAACUUACGCUAAUACCGCACACGACCUUCUGGUGAAAGUGGGGGACCUUCGGGCCUCACGCGAUCGGAUGAGCCUAUGCCCGAUUAGCUAGUUGGCGGGGUAAGUGCCCACCAAGGCGACGAUCGGUAGCUGGUCUGAGAGGAUGAUCAGCCACACUGGAACUGAGACACGGCCCAGACUCCUACGGGAGGCAGCAGUAGGGAAUAUUGGGCAAUGGGCGCAAGCCUGACCCAGCAAUGCCGCGUGUGUGAAGAAGGCCUUCGGGUUGUAAAGCUCUUUUGUUCGGGAAGAAAUCCGUGUGAUUAAUCCCCGUACGGGAUGACGGUACCGAAAGAGUAAGCACCGGCUAACUUCGUG
rnacentral:rRNA from 1 species